ACCAUACGCCCAUAGCAGUACUCUAUCGAUAUCUAGUUCUUUGAAUUUAUAAUUAUAAAGAAUUCAAAUAAUAAUUUGAAACAGCCCAGUAAAUAAUAAUGAGCACCCCAACUAGAUAAUUCAAAUAGGUUUUCAUAAUAAUCUUAUAUAUAUAAGCAAAGUCAAUAUAUGUUUAAAUAACUCAAAAUAAGUAUAUCAAUAAUUUCUCAAAUACUUGGAUUUCAUAUUCAUAAAUGCAAUUCAAAUAGUCAUAUCCAUAUCUAUACUCAUAUUCAAAGAUGGUUGUAUGCUGUCCAUUUGGCAUAUUAAACUCCAAUCUAGCUCUUGAUCAGA
rnacentral:lncRNA from 1 species